GGCCGCGGGAAUUCGAUUCAGGCCUAACACAUGCAAGUCGAGCGGUAGAGAGAAGCUUGCUUCUCUUGAGAGAGGCGGACGGGUGAGUAAUGCCUAGGAAUCUGCCUGGUAGUGGGGGAUGACGUUCGGAAACGGACGCUAAUACCGCAUACGUCCUACGGGAGAAAGCAGGGGACCUUCGGGCCUUGCGCUAUCAGAUGAGCCUAGGUCGGAUUAGCUAGUUGGUGAGGUAAUGGCUCACCAAGGCUACGAUCCGUAACUGGUCUGAGAGGAUGAUCAGUCACACUGGAACUGAGACACGGUCCAGACUCCUACGGGAGGCAGCAGUGGGGAAUAUUGGACAAUGGGCGAAAGCCUGAUCCAUCAUGGCCGCGUGUGUGAAGAAGGUCUUCGGA
rnacentral:rRNA from 1 species